CAUCAGCUCCAGGAGCCUGCAUUUCUGCCCUGAAGUGAUGGUUCACUGACAGCAUCAUCCGACUCAGACGACUUAAAGUUAGUCGAUCCUGGUCCAGUCAAGAGGGCAUCCUGUUCAAGCACAAAAACGGCCAACACGGCGCCACAGAACCACGAACCACAGCCUUCAACCUCCAAUCUGCCACCCUUCCACAUCAGCUCCAGCUGCAGAUGCAAGAAUGGUGUAUCAGGAUCAACAUCCACGUUUGCCAGCACAAACGGCUGAAGAGAUGGUCACAGGCACUUGUCAGCGAGUCUACGUUCCUGUGUAUCAUCCACUGCCAUUCAAGACUGUUCAAGAGCCUUCAACUCCCACGCAGAACAAGACUACAAGAAGUUGUAGAGACUUGGACGUAAGCUCACAGGCACAAACCCCUGCCGGCGUGUCCCUCGAAGUAAAACAGCCCGGCCACUCCAUGAUGGACCCGAUGACUGAAUUGUCCUCUAUUCUCUCUAGGGCGGGCACCCAAGACUUCAAAACGGCACCGUUGGUGGCCCACGUUGUCUCCUUAUCUAACACCAUCUGCUCUUAGGCUGUUGCCUCUCCUGGCCAAAGAAUGACCUGUAUUGAAUGAGGACAAAAAAGGAAGUAAGGUAAAUAAGGGAGAGGAAAUAUAUAUACACCGAUCAGCCAUGACAUAAACAACAUGGGCACCCUGUCUUAAUGUUAUGACUGAUCGGUGUAUAUAUACUGUACUAAUAUAUGUACAAAUAUAUGUAUAUAUACAGUCUCCCCUUGGGAGACAGGUAGGGCUGAUUGAUUAUGACAAAUAUCCUAAUCACAAUCAUUUAACACGAUUACUCAUAGACUUUGGAAACAUCAUGCAUUUAGAAAGAAAAUUUUGUAGGCUACAUUUUAGAGUACAGUAGGGUACACUUUGAGAGCAAAAUUAAGAGUUUAGAUCUAUGAGGAAUUUUGUGCUCUACUAAACAUACUGUAAGCAUGAAGGGCGAGGGGUGUUGUAAAGCGCCACCUUCACCCUGGGCCUUUCUAAGCUGACCUACAGACGGUCCUGGUGCAUCACGGAGAAAAUAAGCCCCGCUGGAAAGGAAAGGGGUGCACUGGAUUUAUAACACAAGACAAAACACAAUUAAUUGCACAGCCCUAGAGUCAGGUCAGCAAACUUUUGGGUGAUUAAAGUCACAGCUGAAGACAUCUCUUUAAAUGUUUUUGUGCUUGAGUCAUGUAAACUAUUUUGAGUUGUGAUGCAUCUAAUUAUUUGCUUUUAUUGGGCCAUUUUCUUCUGUUGUACUCAUCACUUUUUAUUCUUUUGUAAAACACUCUGUAACCUAGAUUUUGAAAGGUCCUAUUUAAAUAAAAUUAUACUUUGGAGCUGCAAUGAUUAUUCGAUUAGUUACUAUUAAGUUAAUCGCCAACUAUUUUGAUAAUCAAUUAAAUGGUUUGAGUAAUUUUUGUAACGAAAAAUAAGUCAAAAUUCUGAUUCCA